rnacentral:rRNA from 1 species
ACACGACUACAUUAGAUACCCGUGUAGUCCUAGCCGUAAACGAUACUCGCUAGGUGUCGGCCACGGUGCGACCGUUGUCGGUGCCGUAGGGUAGCCGUUAAACUCGCUGCCUGGGGAGUACGGUCGCAAGGCUGAAACUUAAAGGAAUUGGCGGGGGAGCACAACAACGGGUGGAGCUUGCGGUUUAAUUGGAUUCAACGCCGGAAAUCUUACCGGGACCGACAGCAACAUGAAGGCCAGGCUGAAGACCCUGCAUGACCAGCUG